AAUCUACUAUGGGCAGGACACCAAACUCAUCAUAGUUCAGAGGAUUAUAAUUUAUUCACAGCAUUAAGGCAAUCUGUUUUGCAGAAGUAUACAUCUUGGGUAUUCUAUUUGCCCUUGGCUUUCUUUAUUCCACCUUCUGUGUAUGCUGUUCAUCUCCAAUUUAAUCUGCUAUACCAAUUCUGGAUACAUACAGAGGUAAU